rnacentral:rRNA from 1 species
GAUGAACGCUGGCGGCGUGCCUAAUACAUGCAAGUCGAGCGAACAGACGAGGAGCUUGCUCCUCUGACGUUAGCGGCGGACGGGUGAGUAACACGUGGAUAACCUACCUAUAAGACUGGGAUAACUUCGGGACACCGGAGCUAAUACCGGAUAAUAUAUUGAACCGCAUGGUUCAAUAGUGAAAGACGGUUUUGCUGUCACUUAUAGAUGGAUCCGCGCCGCAUUAGCUAGUUGGUAAGUUAACGGCUUACCAAGGCAAGGAUGCGUAGCCGACCUGAGAGGGUGAUCGGCGACACUGGAAGUGAGACACGGUCCAGACUCCUACGGGAGGCAGCAGUAGGGAAUCUUCCGCAAUGGGCGAAAGCCUGACGGAGCAAGGCCGCGUGAGUGAUGAAGGUCUUCGGAGCGUAAAACUCUGUUAUUAGGGAAGAACAAAUGUGUAAGUAACUAUGCACGUCUUGACGGUAACUAAUCAGAAAGCCACGGCUAACUACGUG